UCAGUAAUAUAUAAUGAUUACUUUAUUUAUAUCACCAACCUAAACCUAUAUCACAGUAAUAUAUAACGGUUCGUCCAUUUAUAUUCCACUAACUUACAAAAUUAUAAAACCUAUUAAACCCUUGUUAUACUUUUUACCACUUACUUUAAUUUGCUCAAUUAAGACAAUUGAAAGCCUUUUAUACCUAUACCCAAUGACAUUAAUACUAUAGACUGCCAAUUAAUAUAUUUGAAGUGGCAAAAAUUGAAGUGACUGGUGGCCAUUUUCUGUUUGUAUCUUUUACGAAAGAACCAUAUGAUAAUUUCAUAAAUUUCAGUAUAUAUGAAUCAAAUAAAGGUCACUACUGAAUAUGAAGAAAAGAAAGUUAGAUUUGAUAUCUGUUUACAUUCCCUAAUUGAUAAUUCCGCAAACGACAAUAAUUAUACUCAAUGACAUUAAUACUAUAUACUGCCGGUUAAUAUAUUUGAAGUGGCAAAAAUUGAAGUGACUGAUGGCCAUUUUGUGUUUGUAUCUUUUACGAAAUAACCAUAUGAUAAUUUCAUAAUUUCAGUAUAUAUGAAUCAAAUAAAGGUCACUACUAAAUAUGAAGAAAAGAAAGUUAGAUGUGAUAUCUGUUUACAUUCCCUAAUUGAUAAUUCCGCAAACGACAAUAAUUAUACAUUAAUAAAAGUUAAGAAUUAUGGUGGAUUGAUAAUACCAUCCCAAAGCGUGUCAAAUUUAUGUAAAAUAACAGAGAACUCAUUCAGGGAUUUUGAAAAAGUAGAUGAAAUAACCAAAAGACAUGCUGUUAAAAAAAUAGAAUGUCUAAUAUUGUCAAAAAUAUUAGGUACAAAUAUCCUUAGUGACCUGCAAGAUCAUAUGUUUGAUCAAGAGGCAGGGUUAAGUCAUUAUCAAGUUAUAAUAAGACUUAUAAUAAAAAGAUACCUGCACAUAAGAAUGCAUCAUUUUGGUAAUAAAGUAAAUCAAAAAUUACAAUUAAAUAUCAAAAAACUAAACAAGGCUGUACUUUUUCAAAGGCAAUAAGUGAAGAACAAAUUAUCUGAAAAUUUCUAAUGACUUUAUUGGUUAUAAUAAAUUAAUUUUAUUAGACAUAAAUAUAACAUAUAUAUUAUUUGUAUUUAUUGUUGAUUUAUAAGAUUAAUAUUUUCUUUUCGCG